rnacentral:rRNA from 1 species
GAUGAACGCUAGCGGCAGGCCUAAUACAUGCAAGUCGAACGGAUAUAUGUUUUUCGGAAUAUAUAUUAGUGGCGCACGGGUGAGUAACACGUACAUAACUUGCCCUCAAGCGGGGGAUAGCCUUGGGAAACUGAGAGUAAUACCCCAUAGAAUUAUUGGACGGCAUCGUUUGAUAAUUAAAACUACGGUGCUUGGGGAUAGAUGUGCGUCUGAUUAGCUAGUUGGUGAGGUAACUGCUCACCAAGGCGACGAUCAGUAGGGGGCGUGAGAGCGUGGCCCCCCCACACGGGUACUGAGACACGGACCCGACUCCUACGGGAGGCAGCAGUAAGGAAUAUUGGUCAAUGGACGGAAGUCUGAACCAGCCAUCCCGCGUGCAGGAUGACUGCCCUAUGGGUUGUAAACUUCUUUUAUCUGGGAAGAAAAGCCGGCAUUUAUGUUGGUCUGACGGUACCAGAGGAAUAAGCACCGGCUAACUCCGUGCCAGCAGCCGCGGU